AUGUUGAUGAAGAGGCGCCGCCAUUAUCAUUGGAACGCAUUGUAGGUUUUACAAUUUUUUUUAAUAUAUCCUAUUCUGAAGAUAAAUUCCACAUUUAUAGGUCAACCUUCUCAUUUAUAUUGACAGAAUAUACAAUUACUACAUGCAUGACAUGUAUUAAUUGAUGAAAAAUUAAGGAACUGUUGAACAUGUUGAAAAUGCAUGGAGAAAUUUGUUGGGCAAGGCACAGACAUUAAGCUUAAGGCUAACAUCAGAAAACCUCUGGAUUCUUGGAACUGUUUAUCACAUGCAAAUUAUGAACACGGCAUGAUCAAAUCAGAAAGGUUUGAAAAAAGCUUAAAGAAUUUUCAGUUUCACUUGACAGCUUAAAGAAUUUUCAGUUUCACAGGAGUGCAGGAUGAUUUCAGCUAUGAUCACCACACAGUACUGGGAAGAAGUUAAGACACAUCAUGUGUGAGAUAAUUUCUAUGAUGAAAAGUGAGCUAGAAGUAAGGUGCAAACCAUGAAAGUACCUGACAAGUGGACUUGCAAGAUCUGGUGGAAGUGAAAAAUUGUGAAUUGUUGAAGAAGCACAUUAAAAGAAUAUCUGACUUCAUUGGUAGAUGCAAUUGAACAGUUUAAUAAACCAGCUCAAUCAAAUCUAGAUCAUUGUUCCAAUACUCCAGCAAAAAGAUUUAUCAUUAGAAUUCCAGGAAUUCACAGGAACAGAUGUAUUUUAUGGUUUGAUCCUAAACACUAUCAUCAUUGUUAUGGGGUUAAUAUUAUACCAGGCUAUUGAGUCUGAGGAUGGAAAAGUUCUUUUCCUUAGUUUACUGUUAAAAUGGGAACCUAAAUUAUGAAAAGAAGCUUUUUUUCUGGCAUGUGAUAGUAAUUAUUUUAUUGAAGUUGUAUACUGAGUUUACCCUGCAUCCAUUUUCUUCUUCCCACGCCUUUGGCUAAUGCUUUAAGCUGUUUUCAUGAAACUUUAAUGAAUCAUUUAUUUGUAUUGAAAUGAGCUACCUUUUGUUUUAUAAUAGAAAUUUUAGAUUUUCUUUUCCUAGCUAUGGGGAUUUUGAUUUUUUUUUUAAAAGGGGGAUUUUCCUGUUUUUGGACAAUAACUCAUGAGUGCUUUGAGCAGUUUUCAAGGAACUUUGAUGACUGCCUUAUUUCUAUUGAAGUGAGCUCCUUUUAACUUUUUUUUUCUCAAUUUCUGAUAUGACAUAUAGACGUUAUGGAAUGUUAUAAAUGAGAGGCAUAUCAUAUGCUCAUUGCACUGCUGUAUAUUUAAUUAGUACAUUGUAAAUUCUAUUUCUCAAAUAAGUUUUGUGUUUAACAUCUUUUUGUCGAGCCUUCGACUUUAGUCGAAAAAGCGAGACUAAGCAUCGGCGUCCACAAAUAUUUAUUCUGUGGUUAAAGUUUUUGAAAUUUUAAUAACUUUCUUAAACUAAACUGGAUUUCUACCAAGCUUGGAAAGAAGCUUGUUUAUGAUUAUAAGAUAGUAUCCAGAAGUUAAUUUUGUAAAAAUGAAAUUCCAUUUUUUCUGUAUUUUACUUAGUUUUUCUGCGGGGAAACAUUACAUUCACUCUGUGGUUAAAGUUUUUAAAAUUUUAACAACUUUCUUAAACUCUCCUGGGUUUGUACCAUACUUGGACAGAAGCUUGUUUAUGAUCAUAAGAUAGUAUCCAGAAGUAAAUGUUGUAAAAAAAAUCAUUUUUUUUCGUAUUUUACUUAUAAAUGGACUUAGAUUUUCUUCCAGUCAACAUUACAUACAGUCUGCAGUUAAAGUUUUUAAAACAAUUAUUAGAUUCAAAAACUUCCCUGGAUUUUUACCAAACUUGGACAGAAGCUUCUUACAAUCAAAAGAUAGUAUCAAGAGGAAUAUUUUUAUUGAUUUUUGUCCUCACUUUUGUUGAGUCUGCAAUAUACAGCAAAAGUAGGCAAGACACCAGAUUCCGUGAAACCCUUACAAUUUUUUUUUUUAUUUUUUUUAGUUUUUUAAAGUUCCUCAUGCUCAUUUUUCUCUUACCUGUUUUAUUGUGAAUUUUUAAGUUUUUAACCAAUUGUAACCGGUUGACUUGUUUUUAAACAUCAAUUAUGGCAUCAACUAUUUGUUGUGAUGUUUUUUUGUUGUUGUAAACUUUGAUAUGUGAGAAACAAUAAAUGUCCCAUGUUUCAUUGUGAAUGUUACAUGUUUUGUAUCUUGAGUAGCAAUCUGGUAUUCUUAAAAGGAACAUUUGUUUAAUCUGAACUUCCAACCUCAUUUAGAAACCAACUUAUACUUUAUUUUCUAAAAAUAUUUAACCAUAUCUAAAUUAAUCCUGCAAGUACCAAGAUAGGCUUUAGGAUUUUGUGAAUGGAAAAGAAAACAUUGUCUGGUAUUGUAAGGACUAUUAUGGGUACAAUUUGUUUCCACAUUUAUGAAAUUUAUAUCAAAGGUUUAUACAUGUAUCAGCAACGUCUCAUCCAAAUAUAUAUCUGUUUUCAGUGAUUGUGAUGAAUUUUAUAUUAUAUAUCUGUUAUCUGUUUUCUUUAAAAUAUGUAUAACUAUCUAGUUUUCUUGUAUGAAGCAAAAUGUUAUGUUAUGUUAAUUUCAAGGUUAAUUAUUUUAACUUUGAUAUUUAUUUUUUCACUAUGAAAUCAAAAAGACUUAUUUUUUUUGUUUUUUUCAUGUCAAUAAAGUUUAUAACAGUUUCUUAUUAUUACUAAUACACUGAGGCUCACAUUGUGUGCAACAA